GAUCAUGGCUCAGGAUGAACGCUAGCUACAGGCUUAACACAUGCAAGUCGAGGGGCAGCAUGUUGGUUGCUUGCAACCGAUGAUGGCGACCGGCGCACGGGUGAGUAACGCGUAUCCAACCUACCCUUGUCCAUCGGAUAACCCGUCGAAAGGCGGCCUAACACGAUAUGCGGUUCACAGCAGGCAUCUAACGUGAACGAAAUAGUGAAGGAAGGAAGGAAUGGGGAGUGCGU
rnacentral:rRNA from 1 species